ensembl:lncRNA
GAAACAGCACAGGUGUUUCCUCUGAUAGCUCUGUGUCUCUCUGACCAGGAAGUUGCAGCCGUCCACGCCUUCCCAGCCAAAAGACUGACAUCCAGUAGCCUCGCUCAGACGGACCCGUCAACACAUCAGACCAUGGCCUCACCUCAGGACGCCACUCUCUGUAUUUAAUAAACAGCUGGAAGCAACAAACAUCAACGUUUCAGUGAGCCGUCAACUUCCUGUUUCUUGUGCCAAAGACACCAAUGAGAGUGAUGAGAGAGAGUCAUAAAAGUUGGGCAGUUGUGGGGCCAAAACAGUGAGCUGGAAGAUGCUAAAUGUUAGCAGAACUGCAGAGUGGGUGUUUCAGUCGCCAAGCCUUUCAUUUACAAGAAGCAAUGCAGUCCAUUACUGACCUCCACCCAUCAGCCACAACGUUAUGACCACUGACAGGUCAAACAACCUCCCAAUCCCCAUGGCAACAGCAGUCCUUGAUGCCAGUUGCAACCCGCAGCAGGACAAAUUACCCCAACACAC